rnacentral:sRNA from 1 species
CCUAUGGAGUGUUAUAUCAAACUAAAGUAGAUAACUGUUUAUAGUUUUCAAAAUAGGACACUAUGAAUUAGGAA